rnacentral:rRNA from 1 species
UACGAAGGGGGCUAGCGUUGCUCGGAAUCACUGGGCGUAAAGCGCACGUAGGCGGCUCUUUAAGUCAGGGGUGAAAUCCUGGAGCUCAACUCCAGAACUGCCCUUGAUACUGAGGAGCUUGAGUCCGGGAGAGGUGAGUGGAACUGCGAGUGUAGAGGUGAAAUUCGUAGAUAUUCGCAAGAACACCAGUGGCGAAGGCGGCUCACUGGCCCGGUACUGACGCUGAGGUGCUAAAGCGUGGGGAGCAAACAGG